AUUGAACGCUGGCGGCAUGCCUUACACAUGCAAGUCGAACGGAUCCUUCGGGAUUAGUGGCGGACGGGUGAGUAACACGUGGGAACGUGCCCUUUGGUUCGGAACAACUCAGGGAAACUUGAGCUAAUACCGGAUGUGCCCUUCGGGGGAAAGAUUUAUCGCCAUUGGAGCGGCCCGCGUCUGAUUAGCUAGUUGGUGAGGUAAAGGCUCACCAAGGCGACGAUCAGUAGCUGGGCUGAGAGGAUGAUCAGCCACAUUGGGACUGAGACACGGCCCAAACUCCUACGGGAGGCAGCAGUGGGGAAUCUUGCGCAAUGGGCGAAAGCCUGACGCAGCCAUGCCGCGUGAAUGAUGAAUGUCUUAGGAUUGUAAAAUUCUUUCACCAGGGACGAUAAUGACGGUACCCGGAGAAGAAGCCCCGGCUAACUUCGUGCCAGCCGCCGCAGUAA
rnacentral:rRNA from 1 species